rfam:Lupinus angustifolius cultivar Tanjil contig_11694, whole genome shotgun sequence.
GCACCAGUGGUCUAGUGGUAGAAUAGUACCCUGUACAGUACAGACCUGGGUUCGAUUCCCGGCUGGUGCA